AUCCAGCCGACAUAUCCUAAAUAGGACGAAACAUACGUCCUGGAU
rnacentral:hammerhead_ribozyme from 1 species